AUGGCCGGUGGUUUGGAAUGGAACGUUGCCGCGGUAAUAACCAUAGUUGGCUGGUUGGUGUCGCCCAUCAUCACGCUGAUCCUGCCCAAGAUCUUUGCCUGCCUCGGCUUUGACGCGGAGCAGAAGCUCAGGGAGCUCAAGAUCCGCAUCAUCCCGGAGCUGGAGAACACGCUGCGUGAUGUAGAUCAGGUGAGGAUGAUGCAGAGGGGAGAAGUACCCCACCACGUCUCCAGGCUUGACGAGAUGGCUGGAUGGCUGAGGCACGCACAGUACGAUGUGGAUGUCAUCUUCGACGAUGCUCAUGACAUCAAGUCGCGUCGCCUCACCGGCGCUUUGGAGACCUGCGUUGCUCGUUGCUUGGGGGUUAUUCCGUGCAUCGUCUGGAAGGGAUCGGCUCUGCUAAUGGGGUGGCUGAUGCACAUCUCCUUGUGUCGGUGGUUCCGAUGCAGGUCAGAAGAGGAGCCCGCUCCUGUGACUGUCAGCGUUGAGGCCUCAGGCGAGCCCGUGACCAUCGAUAUUGCGUCCUCCAAUGAUGAAGAUGAAGAUGAACUCGAUCCAGUAGCUGCCCGUGCUGCGGCCUUUGAUGAUGAGCACGUUCCGGUGACUAGCGGUGUUGAGGCACUCGGCGAGCCUAAUCCAGUGACUUGUGAUACUGUGGUCUCCGCCGCUGCGCCGUCCGAUCAUGUGGUUGUUCCGGCGACUUUUGGUGGUGCAGCCUCUGACGAGCCUCUUCCGGUGGAUGCAUCCUCUGGCCGGUGGCUCUCUUGCUUGUGCAGCUCUAUCGACUCAUCGAAGAACUGUUGUAGGUUCAUAGUCAACUGGCUAGUUCAUGCGAUUGAUGUUGCCCGCUUUUAUCGAGACUGGUCCUAUGAGGCAGUUGGCAUCAAAAGUAAGCAGAGGAUGCCACUGCGUUUGAUUUUAUCCUUACUGCAAUCUCAAAAUGGAAUUUGA
rnacentral:rRNA from 1 species